CACAAUCUUUUUUUUUUACUAUCAAAUAUUAUGUGACUUUUAGUUAAUAGGGUUUAACCCUUUUGAACAAUAACGAAAAAUAAAACAGAUGCUACAGGAGAAAGGAAUUGUGUGGCGUGAGUCAAUGUUUCAGGUACUACGCCGGUACGUUUAUAUUUAUGUUGGAUCGGGUACCACGCCGAACGUUUUCCAGAGGCUUAGACACGACCUCACCUUUAGAGUUGAUAGAAGAUCUUGAUCAGAAGGGUGAGUAUUCCGUCUUCAGGUUGCCACGGGUCAUCUUAGUUAUUAUUGUCCAUCUUUCGGGCAAUGAAACAUUCUUUAUUUACUUUAUUUUUGGAUAUCACUUUAGAC